UAACCAGACUCCUACGGGAGGCAGCAGUGGGGAAUAUUGCACAAUGGGGGAAACCCUGAUGCAGCGACGCCGCGUGAGCGAUGAAGUAUUUCGGUAUGUAAAGCUCUAUCAGCAGGGAAGAAGAUGACGGUACCUGACUAAGAAGCCCCGGCUAACUACGUGCCAGCAGCCGCGGUAAUACGUAGGGGGCAAGCGUUAUCCGGAUUCACUGGGUGUAAAGGGAGCGUAGACGGCGACGCAAGUCUGGAGUGAAAGCCCGGGGCCCAACCCCGGGACUGCUCUGGAAACUGCGUCACUGGAGUACGGGAGGGGCAGGCGGAAUUCCUGGUGUAGCGGUGAAAUGCGUAGAUAUCAGGAGGAACACCGGCGGCGAAGGCGGCCUGCUGGACCGUGACUGACGUUGAGGCUCGAGAGCGUGGGGAGCAAACAGGAUUAGAUACCCCCGUAC
rnacentral:rRNA from 1 species